rnacentral:rRNA from 1 species
GAUGAACGCUGGCGGCGUGCCUAAUACAUGCAAGUCGAGCGAACAGACGAGGAGCUUGCUCCUCUGACGUUAGCGGCGGACGGGUGAGUAACACGUGGAUAACCUACCUAUAAGACUGGGAUAACUUCGGGAAACCGGAGCUAAUACCGGAUAAUAUAUUGAACCGCAUGGUUCAAUAGUGAAAGACGGUUUUGCUGUCACUUAUAGAUGGAUCCGCGCCGCAUUAGCUAGUUGGUAAGGUAACGGCUUACCAAGGCGACGAUGCGUAGCCGACCUGAGAGGGUGAUCGGCCACACGGGAACUGAGACACGGUCCAGGCUCCUACGGGAGGCAGCAGUAGGGAAUCUUCCGCAAUGGGCGAAAGCCUGACGGAGCAACGCCGCGUGAGUGAUGAAGGUCUUCGGAUCGUAAAACUCUGUUAUUAGGGAAGAACAAAUGUGUAAGUAACUAUGCACGUCUUGACGGUACCUAAUCAGAAAGCCACGGCUAACUACGUG